rnacentral:rRNA from 1 species
GACGAACGCUGGCGGCGUGCUUAACACAUGCAAGUCGAACGGAGUGGCGAACGGGUGAGUAACACGUGGGUGACCUGCCCUGCACUUCGGGAUAAGCCUGGGAAACUGGGUCUAAUACCGGAUAGUGGUGGAUGGGCCCGCGGCCUAUCAGCUUGUUGGUGGGGGAAUGGCCUACCAAGGCGGCGACGGGUAGCCGGGCUGUGAGGGUGGACGGCCACAUGGGGACAGGGGCACGGGCCAGACUCCUACGGGGGGCAGCGGUGGGGAGUAUUGCGCGAUGGGCGGAAGCCUGAUGCAGCGACGCCGCGUGGGGGAUGACGGCCUUCGGGUUGUAAACUCCUUUCACCAUCGACGCGGUAGAUGGAGAAGAAGCACCGGCUAACUACGUGCCAGCCGCCGCGGUAAUUC